GACGUAGGGCGCGAGCGUUGUCCGGAUUUAUUGGGCGUAAAGAGCUCGUAGGCGGCUUGUCGCGUCGACUGUGAAAACCCGCGGCUCAACUGCGGGCCUGCAGUGGGUACGGGCAGACUAGAGUGCGGUAGGGGAGACUGGAAUUCCUGGUGUAGCGGUGAAAUGCGCAGAUAUCAGGAGGAACACCGGUGGCGAAGGCGGGUCUCUGGGCCGUAACUGACGCUGAGGAGCGAAAGCGUGGGGAGCGAACAGG
rnacentral:rRNA from 1 species